UGGGAAUAUUGCGCAAUGGGGGAAACCCUGACGCAGCAACGCCGCGUGCGGGAUGGAGGCCUUAGGGUCGUAAACCGCUUUCAGCAGGGACGAAAUAAGACUUUACCUGCAUAAGAAGCUCCGGCUAAAUACGUGCCAGCAGCCGCGGUAAUACGUAUGGAGCAGGCGUUAUCCGGAUUCAUUGGGCGUAAAGCGCGCGUAGGCGGCCUUAUAAGUCGAGUGUUAAACCCGAGGGCUCAACCCCCGGUUGCACCCGAUACUGUAAGGCUUGAGUUCGGUAGGGGAAAGUGGAAUUCCCAGUGUAGCGGUGGAAUGCGCAGAUAUUGGGAAGAACACCGGUGGCGAAGGCGGCUUUCUGGGCCGUAACUGACGCUGAGGCGCGAAAGCUAGGGGAGCAAAC
rnacentral:rRNA from 1 species